CCCUGGUUUUGCAGUGGNUACGGGCUAACUAGAGUGCAGUAGGGGAGACUGGAAUUCCUGGUGUAGCGGUGGAAUGCGCAGAUAUCAGGAGGAACACCGAUGGCGAAGGCAGNUCUCUGGGCUGUAACUGACGCUGAGAAGCGAAAGCAUGGGGAGCGAGCAGGAUUAGAUACCCUGGUAGUCCAUGCCGUAAACGUUGGGCACUAGGUGUGGGGGACAUUCCACGUUUUCCGCGCCGUAGCUAACGCAUUAAGUGCCCCGCCUGGGGAGUACGGCCGCAAGGCUAAAACUCAAAGAAAUUGACGGGGGCCCGCACAAGCGGCGGAGCAUGCGGAUUAAUUCGAUGCAACGCGAAGAACCUUACCAAGGCUUGACAUAUACUGGACUGCGUCAGAGAUGGCGUUUCCCUUCGGGGCUGGUAUACAGGUGGUGCAUGGUUGUCGUCAGCUCGUGUCGUGAGAUGUUGGGUUAAGUCCCGCAACGAGCGCAACCCUCGUUCUAUGUUGCCAGCACGUGAUGGUGGGGACUCAUAGGAGACUGCCGGGGUCAACUCGGAGGAAGGUGGGGAUGACGUCAAAUCAUCAUGCCCCUUAUGUCUUGGGCUUCACGCAUGCUACAAUGGCCGGUACAGAGGGUUGCGAUACUGUGAGGUGGAGCUAAUCCCUAAAAGCCGGUCUCAGUUCGGAUUGGGGUCUGCAACUCGACCCCAUGAAGUCGGAGUCGCUAGUAAUCGCAGUUCAGCAACGCUGCGGUGAAUACGUUCCCGGGCCUUGUACACACCGCCCGUCAAGUCACGAAAGUUGGUAACACCCGAAGCCGGUGGC
rnacentral:rRNA from 1 species